rnacentral:rRNA from 1 species
UGCGCUAUUGCCGAUCGAGUCCUCAUCGGCGUUUCGGAUAGAUUUUCCGAGAAAGACCUUCCGCCCCACAUCUCCUCCAAUUUCCCGGGCAGUCACGCGUGCAUUGGAGAAGGCGCUUAGGCAAAUCCGGGCGCAGGAUUCAAGGGUGUGGCGCGAGCGCUCUAGGGCGCGAAGCAAUUGGAAGUGGUUCCAAGAAAAGCCUCUAAGCUUCAGUCUAACGAUGACCGUACCGCAAACCGACACAGGUGGGCGAGAUGAGUAUUCUAAGGCGCUUGAGAGAACUCGGGAGAAGGAACUCGGCAAAUUGGUACCGUAACUUCGGGAUAAGGUACGCCCUGGUAGCUUGACUGGCCUGCGCCAGAAGGGUGAAGGGGUUGCAAUAAACUGGUGGCUGCGACUGUUUAAUAAAAACACAGCACUCUGCAAACACGAAAGUGGACGUAUAGGGUGUGACGCCUGCCCGGUGCCGGAAGAUUAAAUGAUGGGGUGCAAGCUCUUGAUUGAAGUCCCGGUAAACGGCGGCCGUAACUAUAACGGUCCUAAGGUAGCGAAAUUCCUUGUCGGGUAAGUUCCGACCUGCACGAAUGGCGUAACGAUGGCCACACUGUCUCCUCCCGAGACUCAGCGAAGUUGAAGUGUUUGUGAUGAUGCAAUCUACCCGCGGCUAGACGGAAAGACCCCAUGAACCUUUACUGUAGCUUUGCAUUGGACUUUGAACCGAUCUGUGUAGGAUAGGUGGGAGGCUAUGAAACCGGAACGCUAGUUUCGGUGGAGCCGUCCUUGAAAUACCACCCUGGUUUGUUUGAGGUUCUAACCUUGGCCCGUGAUCCGGGUCGGGGACAGUGCAUGGUAGGCAGUUUGACUGGGGCGGUCUCCUCCCAAAGCGUAACGGAGGAGUACGAAGGUACGCUAGGUACGGUCGGAAAUCGUGCUGAUAGUGCAAUGGCAUAAGCGUGCUUAACUGCGAGACCGACAAGUCGAGCAGGUGCGAAAGCAGGUCAUAGUGAUCCGGUGGUUCUGUAUGGAAGGGCCAUCGCUCAACGGAUAAAAGGUACUCUGGGGAUAACAGGCUGAUACCGCCCAAGAGUUCAUAUCGACGGCGGUGUUUGGCACCUCGAUGUCGGCUCAUCUCAUCCUGGGGCUGUAGCCGGUCCCAAGGGUAUGGCUGUUCGCCAUUUAAAGAGGUACGUGAGCUGGGUUUAAAACGUCGUGAGACAGUUUGGUCCCUAUCUGCCGUGGGCGUUGGAAGUUUGAAGGGGGCUGCUCCUAGUACGAGAGGACCGGAGUGGACGAACCUCUGGUGUACCGGUUGUGACGCCAGUCGCAUCGCCGGGUAGCUAUGUUCGGAAGAGAUAACCGCUGAAAGCAUCUAAGCGGGAAACUCGCCUUAAGAUGAGACUUCCCCGGGGACUUGAUCCCCUUGAAGGGUCGUUCGAGACCAGGACGUUGAUAGGUCGGGUGUGUAAGCGCAGUAAUGCGUUCAGCUAACCGAUACUAAUUGCCCGUACGGCUUGAUCCU